rnacentral:rRNA from 1 species
UUUAUUUAUUUUAUUAUAAUUGUUUUUUGUUAGUUUAUUUUUUAAUAAAAGAAAUUUUAUUUAUUAUUUUGUCUUAGUAUAUUUUAUAGAAUUGAUUAUUUUUGUUAUAGUUUAAUAGUAAUGUAAUUGGAUUAUGAAAUAAUUUUUUAAUUAUCAAAAAGUAGAUUUAAUUUGUUGUACCUUUUGUAUCAGGGUUUAUUAAAUUUUUAGUAUUUAUUUACUAAUCUCGAUUUAGGUUGAUUUACAAAUAAAUUAAAGUUAAUGUGUCAUAAUUAUUUUUAAUUUACUUUUAGAAAUGAAAUGUUAAUCGUUUCCUAAUAUAUCUAGUUUCUUAAGAAAAAAAUUUAAUUUUUUAAAGUUAAUAGUUUUUAUUUACUUUUUUAUAUAAAAAUGUUAACUUAUUUAUUCUUUAGGGGAUAAGCUCUAGAGUUUUCCUAUAAUUUUAUUAAUUUUGACUUAAUAGUAAGCUUUAAACCAGCUAUCUUUUUGAUUACAUUUUAGUUCAUUAUUUAUUAUUUUGAUUUUAUAAAUAUUUUGGGUUUAAUAUUAAGAUUACUAAUUUAAUUUUUAAAUUAUUGUAAUAAUGAUAGAAUUUGUAUAUAUUUAUUGUUUAUAAUAUUUUAUUAUGUUAAUUUAUUAUAAGGAAUUAGGCAAAAUUGAUUUCCGCCUGUUUAUCAAAAACAU